CCACACGUCCUAGCCUAGCCUAAUCAAAAGAAUAGCAGAAACUGGGCGUGAGGGCUUAAUCCAGUUCCUUCUUUAGGUACUAGUAUAGACGGGGUAUUAAUUAAUGUAGAAGGAAGGAAAUCUGAUGAUUUCAAAGACGACCACUUCCGUUAAAAAUAACUGAAUAAAUACUGGAGCCGUUGUUGUGAUUCGAUAGUUGGAGAGAUUUACAAUGAGUGCCCCAGUACUAGCGUGUUCCUUAACAAAAGCGUGCAACUGCAUCCAGGAUGGAAAUUGCACAUGUGCCCCUGGACACUGCCACUGCAACUGUGGAUCAACCGAGGGUAGCAAAUGUGAAGCCAAAUGCUGCCCAAGUGCAGAAAAAUGCAAAUGUUCCUCAGGCGGCCCUUGCACUUGUGGGGACAACUGUUCCUGUGCGGAUUGCAAAUGCAAAAGUGGUUGUAAACGAUCCGAUUCUCAUGGGGGUGCUUGCACGCGUACUUAACGCAACGAUUCUGGUCUGUUUAAUGAAUUCAUUAUUGUUUAUAUCAUGUAAUAAUCCAAAAGCGGAACUUGUAUACCAAGCUAAUACAAACUGCAUUACAAGAUUUAUAUAAUUUAUGCUGUAUUAUUUUCUUCAUCUCCUAACCAGUUAAUUAUGCUCAGAUUGCGAAUAUUAUUUGCCAAAAACUGAAGUCAUCGAACACAAGUUACGCGAUAAGGAUUAUUGUUAUAUUAGUCCCUACCUUUAUUUGCUGCAGUAAAGAUUACACAGUGUUUAUCAGGUCCGUCUGGUAAACCUCUAUAAGAAAGUUAUUUCCACCUAAAAAUUUAAAUAAACAACAUUAUCAAUAUACUUCAGCAUCGUUUAUCAAGGUAGACUAAAUAAUAAAACCAGUUACACUAAUGCGAUUGGUUGGUUUCAGAUGUCCAGAAAAUAAUUGACAUUUGACAUCUUUAAGUACUUAUGUAAGUAAUUAUGAUAAAACAUUCACUCCAUUUUGAUUAACAAGUUCAAACGCACUUGUACUCGUAUCUACCGUAUAAGAAUUUUGCAUGAAAUCCAGACAUUGGGACUGUUCAUAGAUCCAACCAAGUUAUCGACCAAAACUAGCUCUAGAUUUGUGGACGUGGUGGAAGGUUUGCAGGCACAUGAAGUCAGCAUCGUCAGUACUCGUUCAGUAAAAUAGAAUAGCGUUAUAGAUAUCAUUUUGUGUAUUUAAUGAAGUUUCGUGCUGCCCAAUUUAUCAGGAUAUCAAAAAAAUUAGUA